CCUAAGCAAAGUUCAGAAACAAAAGCGGCGAACUCUUUAUUUCGGCUGAGGUGGCGUGCUCUGCAAUCAGGAAAAGGGACGGACUGCAAACUGCUUGUCGGAAAUGUUACCAAAAUGCAUUUUCACGCCUGCAAAUUCGACUUGGCUUGUGCUGUUAAAUGUGACCAAUUUCAGGAAUUUUUAAGAAAUUCUUCCCCUGUUAAACCAAUCGUCAUCACAGAAAUUGAGCCGCACAUUUUUGAAAAGAUUAACAAAUUCGUGCACUGCUACGUUGUUCCUGUUUACACCGAAAAUGAGUUGGACGAACUCGUGGAAAUGACGGUGGCAGUUCUGAAAUUGAACAUUGCAGCUCUCGUGCCUAUGUACCUAGCUGCUCUCGUUCGCUACACGAACCCUGACAACAUUUGGAAGAUUUUCAAGAACUGCUCAAACUGCGAAGAAAUCAUGCAAAUUUGUAAAACGGUUGUGGCUCCCAAUCCAGAAGAGUAUCUUAAGCAGCCUGAAUUUCUAUCUAUUGACAUUUUAAAAUUCCUGGAUCUAUUCGAUAAUACGGACUCUGAAUUGAUUGCCGACGCUCUUAUCCGAUUGGCUGAAAGUGCCCUAGAUAAUAAAAGUGUACUCAUAAAAGCUGUAAUUCCUCAUCUGAAAUUAAAAAAAUUGGACCAAAGUAGGAUUGAAAAAUUGGAGCAGUAUAUUUCUGCCGAAGAAUUAGACUAAGACGU